rnacentral:rRNA from 1 species
UAACGCGUGAGGUAACCUACCUUAAAGUUCUGGAUAACACUUGGAAACAGGUGCUAAUACCGCAUAACCAUCAAAACCGCCUGGUUUUGAUGUUAAAGAUGGUUCUGCUAUCGCUUUAAGAUGGACCCGCGGCGUAUUAGCUAGUUGGUGAGGUAAUGGCUUACCAAGGCAAUGAUACGUAGCCGAACUGAGAGGUUGAUCGGCCACAUUGGGACUGAGACACGGCCCAAACUCCUACGGGAGGCAGCAGUAGGGAAUCUUCCACAAUGGACGAAAGUCUGAUGGAGCAACGCCGCGUGAGUGAAGAAGGUUUUCGGAUCGUAAAACUCUGUUGCCAGAGAAGAACGUGUGUGAGAGUAACUGUUCACGCAGUGACGGUAUCUGACCAGAAAGUCACGGCUAACUACGUGCCAGCAGCCGCGGUAAUACGUAGGUGGCAAGCGUUGUCCGGAUUUAUUGGGCGUAAAGGGAACGCAGGCGGUCUUUUAAGUCUGAUGUGAAAGCCUUCGGCUUAACCGAAGUCGGGCAUUGGAAACUGGGAGACUUGAGUGCAGAAGAGGAGAGUGGAACUCCAUGUGUAGCGGUGAAAUGCGUAGAUAUAUGGAAGAACACCAGUGGCGAAAGCGGCUCUCUGGUCUGUAACUGACGCUGAGGUUCGAAAGCGUGGGUAGCAAACAGGAUUAGAUACCCUGGUAGUCCACGCCGUAAACGAUGAAUGCUAAGUGUUGGAGGG